rnacentral:rRNA from 1 species
UACAGAGGGUGCAAGCGUUUGUUCGGAAUUAUUGGGCGUAAAGCGCGUGUAGGCGGCUUUGCAAGUCGGGUGUGAAAAGCCCCUCAGCUCAACUGAGGAAGUGCGCCCCGAAACUGCAGAGCUUGAAUACCGGAGAGGAUGGCGGAAUUCCCCAAGUAGAGGUGAAAUUCGUAGAUAUGGGGGAGGAACACCGGUGGCGAAGGCGGCCAUCUGGACGGCUAUUGACGCUGAGACGCGAAAAGCGUGGGGGAGCAAACAGG